rnacentral:rRNA from 1 species
AAAGCCCAAAAUGAAAAGCCAGCUUGCUGGCGUUGUAGUUGAGCGACCUUGGGGUGUCAGUUUGGGUAAGUCGCAUGGAAAUGCGUGCCGUGGAGGGUGAGAGCCCCGUCCAUCCCAUUCAGGACACUCCGCACAAGGGCGUUUCAGACGAGUCGGGUAGCUUGGGAAUGCUGCUCUAAUUGGUGGUAAAUCUCAUCAAAGGCUAAAUAACGGUGGGAGACCGAUAGCGAACAAGUACCGUGAGGGAAAGAUGACAAGCACUUUGAAAAGAGGGUGAAAAGAGCCUGAAACCGUUACGGGGGAAGCGGAUCGCGUUGGCCUGGUGGCCGCCUGUGUGUUCAGCCCUUUGGGUGCAUUGAUGCAGGUGGUUAUCCGUUGUGGCUUCUCGGUGGCCGAAUUUGGGCUGCCGGGGGGUGAGGGCUCCCUUCGGGUGAGGACGACGGAGUGACGACGCGAUACGACCCGUCUUGAAACACGGACCAAGGAGUCUAGCGCGGGUGCGAGUCGGAGGGUGUUAAAACCCGUGGGCGAAGUGAAAGCGAGUUUAAAAACGAGCAGUUUGGGGCGGCAUAGAAUCGUUGAUUCUAGGUCCGACCUUGAGCAGUUGCGCUGGGACCCGAAAGAUGGUGAACUAUGCCGGAGUAGGGCAAAGCCAGAAGAAAUUCUGGUGGAGGCUCGUAGCGGUGCUGACGUGCAAAUCGCUCGUCGAACUUGGGUAUAGGGGCGAAAGACUAAUCGAACCAUCUAGUAGCUGGUUCCCUCCGAAGUUUCUCUCAGGAUAGCAGGCCGACAAGUUGUUUUGUGCGGUAAAGCGAAUGAUUAGCGUACUCGGGGACGUUUAGUCUUCGGACGAUUCUCAAACUUUCAAUGCGCAAGGGUACCGGUGCUUUGUUGAGCGGUACCGAUAAAAACGUCGGCCUUGUGGGCCACUUUUGGUAAGCAGAACUGGCGAUACGGGAUGAACCGUAAGCAUGGUUAAGGUGCCAAACUGCCCGCUUAUAGAUCCCACAAAAGGCCGCCAAGGAGUGUGUAACAACUCACCUGCCGAAUGAAUUAGCCCUGAAAAUGGAUGGCGCUUAAGCGGGCGACCGACACCAUGCCGUCUGUGAAAUAAUUCAGAUGAGUAGGAGGGCGUGGCGGCCGUGUCGAAGCGUGCUUGCAGAGGCAUGUGGAACGGCCGCUAGUGCAGAUCUUGGUGGUAGUAGCAAAUAUUCAAGCGAGAUCCUUGAAGGGCGAAGCGGGGAAGGGUUCCACGCGAACAUUGAUUGGGCGUGGGUGAGUCGUUCCUAAGCCGAGUGGCGAUUGCUAAGUAGCGGCGAAAGGGAAGCGGGUUGACAUUCCCGCACACGGAUGUGGAGGCGGUGACGCUUUAUUGGGGCGAACACGCUGGCGGUGGCGCUGGGCAGAGUUGUCUUUUCUGUUUGACCGCUGAUGCACGCGGUGUGGAAUCCGCUUGUCGGGAGAAACACGCGUGUACGGGCAGAGCGCCGGGGCUUUUCCGGCGUCCAGCUCGCCACCGACGGCCCUUGAAACUUUGCCUGCUGGUAUUUUUUAUUAAGAUCCACGCCGUGGCGUACCGAUCACCGCAUCAGGUCCCCAAGGUGAACAGCCUCUGCUCGAUAUGAACAAUGCAGGUAAGGGAAGUCGGCAAAUUGGACCCGUAACUUUGGGAAAAGGGUUGGCUCUAGUGCUGCGUGGGAGUGGUUGUCGAGUGUUGGUGUGUUUAGGCUUGCUGGAAUGAGCGCGGGCCUUCGGGACUGUGUUUAUCUGGCGGGCCCGGGCGCGCCACGCUCGACGACGCCCACAGCAUGCAGCAGACUAGAACUGCAACGGGCAAAGGGAAUCCGACUGUUUAAUUAAAACAAAGCAUUGCGAGGGCCGUGGCCGGUGAUGACGCAAUGUGAUUUCUGCUCAGUGCUCUGAAUGUCAAAGUGAAGAGAUUCAAUCAAGCGCGGGUAAACAGCGGGAGUAACUAUGACUCUCUUAAGGUAGCCAAAUGCCUCGUCAUCUAAUUAGUGACGCGCAUGAAUGGAUUAACGAGAUUCCUACUGUCCCUAUCUGCUUCUAGCGAAACCACAGCCGAGGGAACGGGCUCGGCGAAAUCGGCGGGGAAAGAAGACCCUGUUGAGCUUGACUCUAUUCUAAUUUUGUGAAGCAAGCUGGGAGGUGUAGCAUAGGUGGGAGACUUCGGUCGUCCGUGAAAUACCACUACUCCCAGUCUUGCUUUACUUACUGGGUCGGUGUGGAUGAGUCUUACGACUCUUUUCUGGAACCAACCUGAUUUAAUUCGGGGACCACAGCUCAGUACACAUUUAGGAGGGGAGUUUGGCUGGGGCGGUACAUCUUCUACAAGACAACGAAGGUGUCCAAAGAUAAGCUCAGUGAGAACAGAAAUCUCACGUAGCGCAAAAGGGUAAAAGCUUGUUUGAUUUUGAUUUUCAGUGCGAGUCAAAAACGCGAAAGCGUGGCCUAUCGAUCCUUUCACGAUUCGAGAUUUGAAGCGAGAGGUGUCAGAAAAGUUACCACAGGGAUAACUGGCUUGUGGCGGCCAAGCGUUCAUAGCGA